rnacentral:lncRNA from 1 species
UGGGAACUCACCCAGCGCAUCCGACUGCACGGACAAUGCUGAGGAGACCCCCCUGACUCAAAGGAAAUAGACUGCAGCACUGAUUGGAUGACUUUGGAAUGAAAAAAAGUAGUUUUCCUUUACAAUGAGGCUUGGCCCCCAGGGCGAUGGUGCCACAAGCCAGAUCACUGGGACCACUCAGAGAAAGGGAACACAGAAGCCUGGCAUGCCAGCAAAAAGCAGGGUUUUUGUGAGCAGUGUCUUGCACCAAACUCCUGUCUCCUCCUGUGACUUAGAAUGCCUAACUUCCUGGGAAUGCAGCACAGGUCUCAGCCUCAUUUUGCCCAGCCCCUAUUCAAGACGGAUUUGCUGUGGUUCAAAUGCUUCUGACAAUAUUCCUCAUGGUGAAUGCUGGAUUUUGCAUGCCCGAGGCCCUGGGCCACACUGUAUGUUUGCUUUUUGCAAGGGCUGUAUGGCUAUGACUAGUUAUGUGGACCCUGCAUUCCUAUGUAAAUGACCCUCCAUAAAAACCCCAGAAAUGAAUGCUUGAGUGAACUUCCCUGGCUUGUAUUAUAAUACUGUGAACAUCUUGUCACACAUCUUUGCUGGGGGAAUUAAGUGUGUCCCUAUGUGACCGUAAUGGGAGAUAACACCCAGAGUUUUGUGCCUGCUUUCAUGUGGACUUCAUUCUAUGUGAUUUUUCCCUUUGGUGAUCCUGGUCUAUAUCCUUUUA